rnacentral:rRNA from 1 species
UGGCAUGCUUACACAUGCAGUCGAACGAGAUCUUCGGAUCUAGUGGCGCACGGGUGAGUACGCGUGGGAACCUACCAUUCUGUACGGAAUAACGCUUGGAAACGAGCGCUAAUACCGUAUACGCCCUGUGGGGGAAAGGUCCGCCGCAGAAUGAGGGGCCCGCGUCCGAUUAGUUUGUUGGUAAGGUAACGGCUUACCAAGACUACGAUCGGUAGCUGGUCUGAGAGGAUGAUCAGCCACACUGGGACUGAGACACGGCCCAGACUCCUACGGGAGGCAGCAGUGGGGAAUACUGGACAAUGGGGGCAACCCUGAUCCAGCAAUGCCGCGUGUGUGAUGAAGGCCCUAGGGUUGUAAAGCACUUUCAAUGGUGAAGAUGAUGACGGUAGCCGUAGAAGAAGCCCCGGCUAACUUCGUGCCAGCAGCCGCGGUAAUACGAAGGGGGCGAGCGUUGUUCGGAAUUACUGGGCGUAAAGGGCGCGCAGGCGGUCAAUUUAGUUAAGUGUGCAAGCCCGGGCUCAACCUGGGAACUG